rnacentral:miRNA from 1 species
UUGACUUGGAUCUUUGCCUCGGAGG